rnacentral:rRNA from 1 species
UACGUAGGGGGCUAGCGUUGUCCGGAAUCAUUGGGCGUAAAGCGCGCGUAGGCGGCCCGGUAAGUCCGCUGUGAAAGUCAAAGGCUCAACCUUUGAAUGUCAGCGGAUACUGCCGGGCUAGAGUCCGGAAGAGGCGAGUGGAACUCCUGGUGUAGCGGUGGAAUGCGCAGAUAUCAGGAAGAACACCAAUGGCGAAGGCAGCUCACUGGGACGGUACUGACGCUGAGACGCGAAAGCGUGGGGAGCGAACAGG